rnacentral:tRNA from 1 species
GGGGAUGUAGUUUAGUUGGUAGAGUGCUUGCCUUACAUACACAAGGACCUGGGUUCAAUCCCAGCACCCUA